AACAAACGCUGGCGGCGUGCCUAAUACAUGCAAGUCGAACGGGGAAAGCUUUCGGGUGAGUACUAGUGGCGCUCGGGUGAGGAACGCGUGGAUAAUCUGCCUUAGAGUUGGGGAUAACUAGUCGCAAUAUUAGCUAAUACCUCAUAAGACCACGAGAGCUGCGGCUUUUGAGGUCAAAGGUUUUUCGCCGUAAGAUGAGUCCGCGUAAGAGUAGCUAGUUGGUGAGGUAACGGCUCACCAAGGCGACGAUCUUUAACUGGUCUGAGAGGAUGAUCAGUCACACUGGAACUGAGACACGGUGCAGACUCCUACGGGAGGCAGCAGUAGGGAAUAUUGCACAAUGGAGGAAAAUCGGAUGCAGCGACGCCGCGUGAGUGAUGAAGGCGUUCGGGUCGUAAAGCUCUGUCGAAGGAGAAUAACACAAUGAAGGUACCCUGUAAGAAAGGAUCGGCUAACUUCGUG
rnacentral:rRNA from 1 species